CAGAGGGUGCAAGCGUUAAUCGGAUUUACUGGGCGUAAAGCGUGAGUAGGUGGCUCGCUAAGUCGAUUGUGAAAGCCCUGGGCUCAACCUGGGAAUUGCAGUCGAUACUGGUGAGCUAGAGUUCGGUAGAGGGUGACGGAAUUCCCGGUGUAGCGGUGAAAUGCGUAGAUAUCGGGAGGAACAUCGAUGGCGAAGGCAAUCACCUGGGCCUGAACUGACACUGAGACACGAAAGCGUGGGUAGCAAACAGGAUUAGAUACCCUGGUAGUCCACGCCGUAAACGAUGGGAACCUGACGUCGGUUUGCUCUGCGAAUCGGUGUCGUAGCUAACGCGCUAAGUUCCCCGCCUGGGGAGUACGGCCGCAAGGUUG
rnacentral:rRNA from 1 species